rnacentral:snRNA from 1 species
AUACAUACCUGGCCGGGGGAAGUCGGUGAUCAAGACGGCCGAGUCCCUAGUUGGGGUACCUCUCCUGCACUUGAGAGGGGCCCCUUCUAUGAUUGCCUUCGGGUAACUCAACGGCAUAAUUUGUGAUAGCGUGGGGUGCGCUUGUCGCGCCCUGCAU